UGCAGUCGAACGAUGAAGCCCAGCUUGCUGGGUGGAUUAGUGGCGAACGGGUGAGUAACACGUGAGUAACCUGCCCUUAACUCUGGGAUAAGCCUGGGAAACUGGGUCUAAUACCGGAUAGGAGCGCCUACCGCAUGGUGGGUGUUGGAAAGAUUUAUCGGUUUUGGAUGGACUCGCGGCCUAUCAGCUUGUUGGUGAGGUAAUGGCUCACCAAGGCGACGACGGGUAGCCGGCCUGAGAGGGUGACCGGCCACACUGGGACUGAGACACGGCCCAGACUCCUACGGGAGGCAGCAGUGGGGAAUAUUGCACAAUGGGCGAAAGCCUGAUGCAGCGACGCCGCGUGAGGGAUGACGGCCUUCGGGUUGUAAACCUCUUUCAGUAGGGAAGAAGCGAAAGUGACGGUACCUGCAGAAGAAGCACCGGCUAACUACGUGCCAGCAGCCGCGGUAAUACGUAGGGUGCGAGCGUUAUCCGGAAUUAUUGGGCGUAAAGAGCUCGUAGGCGGUUUGUCGCGUCUGUCGUGAAAGUCCGGGGCUUAACCCCGGAUCUGCGGUGGGUACGGGCAGACUAGAGUGCAGUAGGGGAGACUGGAAUUCCUGGUGUAGCGGUGGAAUGCGCAGAUAUCAGGAGGAACACCGAUGGCGAAGGCAGGUCUCUGGGCUGUAACUGACGCUGAGGAGCGAAAGCAUGGGGAGCGAACAGGAUUAGAUACCCUGGUAGUCCAUGCCGUAAACGUUGGGCACUAGGUGUGGGGACCAUUCCACGGUUUCCGCGCCGCAGCUAACGCAUUAAGUGC
rnacentral:rRNA from 1 species